UACUGAUUGUGCAAAUCUGAUUAUAUUGUUGUUAAGUAUUUAUAUUGAAAGUGUCAGCGAUUCAUCAUAACUUUGAAAAGUGUUCCUUCUUCUUCUUCUCAGACUGAUAAGACAUAAAAAUAGCAAGCUGCGCGCGAGUUUGCGAGAUUUUUGCAUCGUUUUUUUUUUUUUUCAUUGUGCGUGCAAUGUAUGCAAAAUACGCGUGUGAGCCACGCGUUGCGUCGGGAGUGCCGUGUAAAGUUUCUCGUGUCGAGAGUGCCGUGUAAAGUGUCGGGCGAUCGUAAUUAUUCGUGUUUCCGCGAGUGUCGCGAGUGCUAUCAUGAGAGGAGGAGGAGGUCCAGGGAGGCAUCGGGCAACAGUGGAACAACUAUGAGAUUAAUGGGCUGUGUACGAACUCCGAUAUUGCAUCGAGAGUCGUUCCUUCGGGACAUCCACAACGCGGGACAUCGAAGGAGGAAGAGGAGGAGACCGCG